GCAAAAACAUGUGACAUGAGUGGAUGAUUUUUAUUCGGGUGGUCUACUGGUCCAAGGCAUUAAUAAAUAAUGCACAUGUAAUUAGGGUUUUAAACAAAUUGCAAAGGCUAGAGUUUAAACCCUAAAAUGAGGUUUUAUUGGCAUCAGCCAAAUAUUUAAUUCAAAAUAUUUAUUUCUCUGUCCCAAUGGACAGAGGAUAAUAAAACAAAUUUUUGGGCACUGGUUUCAUUCAAAAAGGACUUCUAAAUAAUUAGUUAUGAUUUAAAAGGUAUAAAACCCUAUUCUGUAAUUUGAAUGUGAUUAGAAACUCAAAUUUGAAAUUGGAUGGUGCCAAAAGAUUCUACAAUUCUUAAGGAUUCCAAAAAGGUGUGGAUCAUUAAAUUUGGCCAAACAGAUUAAAAGAUAUGAUCCUUUGAAGUUACAGGGGCUUUUCUGCAAAAGUGUCAUUUCUAAUUAAUCCGGGAAUUAAAAUUAGAUUUUCAUUUUAUAACUCGUGUGCCAUGUGUCAGCAUCUAAUUGGUGCGUACCGGUUUGGUUAAAAGAUUAAAUCCGAUCUAAUCCGUACCGUUGGGAAGAAAUGGACGGCCGAGAUCGAAGAUGAAGCUCACCGGCGAGGUCUAGGGUUCCGGCGAUGGAAUCCGGCGGCGGCGCGGCUCGGGCGUGGAGGCGGGCGGCGUUCGGGUGGACUUCGUGCGUCGGGGAGGACACGGGUGCGCGCGGCGCGAUGAAACGGAGACGGUGACGCGCGCGGGGCGGCGAGACGGGGCCGGGGUUGUUGCCUAGAACGACGACGUGCGGCGGCGGCGCCAUGGGAGCUCCGGCGAGGACGAGCGGGCGGCGUCCGGUGUCUACAGUGCACAAGGCGAAGAACCAGCCGCAUCAAAAGGAAGCGCAAAGGGAGGGGAGAAAGAGGAAGUGCGCGGGGUCGCCUCAUACCUCGUGGUUUGCCGACAGUGACCUCGAAAAGGCGGCGGCGCGAGCUAGGGUUUCGGGGCAAAAAUCCGGCAGCAUGGGCGCACGAUUCGGUGGGCAACGAUGGGGGAAAGAGAGAGGGAGGGCUCGGCUAUAUAAUGACGCGCUUGGAAGGUUGCGGGGAGCACGGGAGGGGACGGAUUCCGGUGAUGACGCGCGGCGGAAUUUCGGGCGCUUGCCCAAGGUAGGGGACGACCCCGACAGGUGGGCCCCACCUGUCGGUGGCUCGGGCGCGCGCGCGGGCCGGUCCGGUGCGGCGCGGUCGGUUCUGGGCCGGUUCGGCCCAAGCGGUCGGACCGGUCCAGUUUUCCCUUUUUUUUCUUUUCUUUUUCCCUUUUUCUCAUUUGUUUGAUAACUUUUGAUUUUGAACUCCAAAUUGGCCCAAAUAAAUUUCAGAAAAUUUCUAAAAUCAUGUUCUAUCAUGAUACAACUUUUGGGAGUGAUUUCCCCUCAAAAUAAAAUAUAUAAGAAUACAUUUGCCCUAUAAAUGCCUUUAGGGCUAUAUAACUAUUUAAAUAAAAUAGUUUUUCAACUCCAAAAUUAUCCAAAAAUUAUGGGAUAGCUUAUAUAUGCAAUAAACCCCUUUUUAUAAAUAAACCCUAUUGGUUUGAAGAUUCAAAGUUCAAAUGGGUGUAAACCCUAGGGUUUAAAUUGAAACAAAGUCUUUUAAAGCCUUUUGAGAUUCAAAUUUGAAUUCAAAUAUGCAAUUGUGGCAUGAUGCUCAUGGAUGCAAUGCAUAUGUAAAAGUUUGAAAUUUUGGGAUAUUACACUACUGGGCAAAGGUGUGAUCGCCUGGUGAGUCAAUGGAGCGGCCGAUGAGAUGCAACCUCUUGUUCUCCGCGUGAUCACAACACAAAACUUCACGAGCAAAUUAAUUACGUAUCCAGAUUGUAUUAGUAUGCGGCCUAAUUGCAGCGUACCUGCAAUUCUGCCACAUGUUUAUUACAGCACGUACCCAAAAUUACCGUGCAAAGCAAACUAGUAAGUACAAAAUAGAUGAUGUGACUAAACCAUUUUAGGCAGGUUUGCACUAAGCUUUCUCGUCGAAGGUCUCGACAUGAGGUUUUUCCACCAUGCUUUCACGCAAGGGAAAGAGUCAAACAGUGAUGCAUAUGGAGUUCCCAUGAAGCAGCAAGUGAAGGCGAAAUGGUUAAGGUCUGCAAAGCUAAUGAAGUUCCCAGCAAGAUACUUGUGUUUGGACAGACGCGCCUCGUAAACGUCGAGCACCUUCUUCAGCUUCUCCAUGCUCUCAUCCACGACCUUUUGGUUGGUCGGUAUACCGUAUGCUGUGGGAUAUAUGAUGCACUCAUACACAAUAGGUGCGAGUGCUUUGUUGUACUGAUUUGCCUGGACCUCAGUCCAGACGUCCACCAUUGCUGCUUCUCCUGGGUUGCUUUCUCUGAGCAUGUCAACUUCGUCUGUCCUGUAUUUGCGAAGUAUGUACUUUCCAAUAGCACGGGACUCUGCAGAAACAAAAACAAAUCCGACGAGCACGUAACAGGUAAGCAUGACGAGACACCAAAACAGAGUUUUGGUACAAAAUUCAAGUAAUUAUUCUUUUGCAAGAAAAUGAAGAAUUUGGACAAUCAGAACAUGUUAUGAAAAUCACAAGUCAUACCAUAAAUCCUGUAUGUGAAAGGUUUGUUUGAUGCAUUCUUUACCGAUAGCAUGUAAUGAGCAAACGUGUGAUCUUGUUUUCCUAAUAGAAAAUAUGUACGAGUAGAAACCUGGCCUUUUGCUUUGACACUGCACCUUGUUUUUCAGAAAAUAAUUUUCAUGUAAUGUUUCACUAUCAUACAAAUCGAGGUAUUCAUGAGUCCAUGCAUAGGCGGGGCUUAUCCUCAUUUUCGAAGAAAAAACAGAGCGAGGUAUUUCACUAGAAACUUGAAUCAAAUCCGUACACGGCAGGGAGUUUAGAUUUACCGAAGAGCAUGAGGUCUCCAUCUUGGAAAGCAGGGAUUUCUCCAAAUGGCUGCAAGAGCGUAUCAGCACGAAUUAAUCAACAGCACCAAAGCUUAAAUGGCUUCCAAAUUUUGCACAAAAUCCUUACGUUCCUGGCGAGGUGCUCAGGUUUCUUCUGUUCCUUGGCAAGGAAGUCGAUGUCUACGACCUCGUACUCGACACCAACCUCCUCGAGGCAUACCAGCACACGCGCCACGUUCGUGAACCCGGCCGAACCGAACACCUUCACCGGCGCCAUACUUAAGUUGACAGUAUGCUGAGGUGUGCAGUCCUUAGGGAUGGCAAUGGCAUAUUUAUAGGAGGAGCUUUGCUGCUGAAAUGUCUCCCCAUACGAGUGAGGGCAUUUUUAAUUUCCCAGCAGUCCAGCUUUAGUAGGAAGCACCUUUUGUUUUUUGGUAAUUAACCUUGAAGCUGAAGUUGAUGGUUGUUGUAAACUCUUCUUGCUUUCUUUAUAUUUAUUUUUUGACAAGGUGUGAGACUGAUUCUCCUGAUCUUUUCUUAAAGAAGAAUUUUUGUAAACGUUGUCUAAUGGAAAUGAGACUGAUUCCCGAUUCAACAACUUUAAUGUUGUUUCUUUUGACACAAUAAUGAGAUUAAACAAAUACACACUGAUGCACUACCGGUCCCAAGUGAGGCGUUUACAGGCGUCAGCUGUGAGGUACUUGCACGAGAGACGAGAUCAUUUGUGGUGUAAUCUGUCAGAGAAUUACAAAUUAAUCUAGAGAGAUACUGCCUCCGUCCCAUAAUUCUUCUCAUGGUUUCAUUAGUUCAAAUUUGAACUAAAACCACCACAAGAAUUAUGAGACUUUUAUCUCAUAAACUAUGCAUAAACUAGAUCCAUGAAAAUUCUCUCGUUUCAAAAUUUUUCUUGUGGUUUUAUUAGUUCAAAUUCUCUCGUUUGAAAAUUUUAAAUUUUUAUCUCAUAAACUAUGCAUCCGAUUGACGAUCCGUUUUCACCGUAAGCUUAACCGCCAAGAUCUACAAAACUAGAUCCCAGGUUGAUAUGUUUUGACGAAUGUUUUCGUCAGAAGUUACAAGGUUACGAUCAAUUAUUUACCAUAUUGUGACCACGUGGUUGCCACAUUAAAUAUCACUUGUUUACCGAAAUAUAUUUACUUGUUUAUCAGUUUGCUUACUAUCAAUUUGCAACUACGUAAAGACUUGGAUCAUUAUACUUCUAUGAUAUGAUGACAUCUUUUACAUAUUCAAACACUUAAAUAUUCACUCUUGAGCUUGCAAGGCAUUGCAAUGUCUAAAACAUUUUUCUAAUUGGUAACCCUAUAUUAGUAAAGACUAUUAAUGAAGUGAUUAUUAAUAUGGUAAACGUUCACAAGUCACAUGGUAAUCAUGAGUGGUGUCAAGAAAAUAUCAUCAAAAUAUAUAUAAAAAAUGUGGUCUUGUUUUGAAGCACUCAUCGUGACGAACUCAACCGUGAAAACGGAUCUUUAAUCGGAUUAAUGGUUUAGAAGAUAGAUCAUUCUGUAAAUUCAAAAUUUAGUAUUCCUCUGAUCCUAAAUUCUUGACUCAAAUUUGCCCAAAUAUGGAUGUAUCUAUUCUUAAAAAGCGUCUAGAUACAUGUAAUAUAAAGACAACAAUUUAGGAUCGGAGAGAGUACUAAAUUAUUUUAGGCCCAGACCCACUAGAAUCCUCCCUAAGGAAAGGUUAGCCUCGCACGUCUUUUAAUUAGAUUAACCGUUCAUUCAUUUGAUUCAAAGGAAUAAUGGGAAGGAAAAAGUCAUGUGAUCUUAGAUUCAGUGAAAAAAAUACUGAGUGUUUACAAUCCACGUAGACCUCUUUUUUGAAUUUCUUCACAUGAAAAACAAGAAAACGUGUUUAGUGAAGUAAUUAUAUGAAAUUUAUUUUUGCAUGUGAUUUGACUUAAUUUUACCAUGUUUAUCAAGAUUAAAUUUUUUUCCUUUAUACUUAUGUGAAUAAAAUGUACGUUCCUCUAUUAUUCAUGUGUUUUCAAAAUCCUGUGAAUCAAAGAGACCCAUAGAAAAAAUUAAGCGUGACAAUGAGUUCCUUCGUGGUACCCUACCUUGGAGGUUUGACACAUCCUUGAUCACUCCAUGAUGCGCAAUUGCUCUACCAUGAGGACAAAUGUUACUUCUUCUGAUCCUAAAUUGUUGUCGAAAUAUUGCAUGUAUCUAGUAGCCUUUUUAAGAGUAGAUACAUCCAUAUUUGGACAAAUUUGAGACAAGAAUUUAGGAUCGGAGGGAGUAACCAUUUUUGUUCUUGGGUAGUUAAGGUCCUGGUCCUUUGGUGGCAAUUAUGGAAUGGUUCGCACUUGGUAUAAUCUAAUUUUCAUGGCAUUUAGGAAGGCGAGGGAGAAAGUAAUAGACAUCAUGCUUCUAAAUAUAGUACUACAUGGUUCUUGCAUUUUAGAGACCGGAAAACCUCCAAAGACAAAACCACAUGGUUCUUGCAUUGAAGAAGAUAAGGGAGGGAGAGAGAGAAAGAGACCAAAGCAUCUCCUCGAAAAAAACCUAGAACACUGCACAUCUAGAACAAACAAACCCAUCUCGUCUUUAUUGAAAAGCCACAUGAACAAAGCACUACUCCGUAUUAAAACACAACCUAGUUUAAAAAACCGGACCAUUCGUAAAUUAUUACGCACCAGACGGGAACCGAACUGGAGACUUCCCUAUAGAGAACUCCGCAGGCCCAGAUCUGACAACUCCGCACGUAACUCCUCCCUCGCCGCCGCCGGCGAUGGCGACAGCGACGGGGCCCUGGCUGGCAGUCACGUAAACCGAGUGGCGGCCGCAGCGACCGGCCACUUGCCACGUCUGCGGCAGCGGAGAGCUGCUCUGGCCGCGCGGUGGUGUCCGCUGUCAUGGCGAGACGUCGGUUUGCGGCGCGACUUCCAAACGGCGGCACGGACGAGAUCUGGGUGGUAGUCCUUCUCGGGGCGGCCGUGCGGUCCUUGGAGGCGGCGGCCCGUCGGCCCUGGCCGCGUUUGCGGUGGCGGCGGGCUGCUUUGGCCACGCGGUGCGGUGGCCUGCCAAGUCGCGGCGUCGGACGACGGGGCUGGCGGUCCAGGGGCGGCGGCGGCGGCCGUGCUUUGUUGCGUCUUGCGUUCCUCCAUCAGAUCGUUUUGUCGGCACUUUGUCUGCUUUGUUGAUGUUGUGGUGUCGGUGAUGCGGGUUUGGUACCGAGGGAAACUCUUGGUCGGCUUGCCCGACCACGACAGUGGUGACGUCCUUAGGGGACGUCAUUCUCCUUACAUGAGGCAUUGUCAAGGUAUUCCGACACCACCCCCGCUCCAGGUUCCCGAGUGAAAACCCAAAGUCUCCGGACUGGGCGGCGGCGCUUGCGGUGUCGCUCUCCCCCUUGUGUGCGCCGUUGGGGAACACUAGAUCUGCUGGUGCGGGGUUCUUAGUCGGCGGGUGCUCUUUUGCCGGUCGAGCUCUGGUUUGCGUCGUCGUUGCCAUGCCUAGCAAGUUUAGUGCGACAUUCUCUAUCCUGAAGAUGGGUCAGUGGAACACGGUGGCGGCUGAUUCUAAAGCGUGAGCAUACGACACAUGCUGGGAAUUAGUUUGAUCGGUUGUGCCUUCGUGGCCUCCGAAUUUAGAUGUUGGGUGAUGGUGUGCGGUUAGGGCACGGCCCGGAUAUUCGCUACACCUUUUAUCUGGUUAGUAGGUAUAGCGACGAAGAUGUAACUUCGACAAUGUCCAUAUUAGGUAUACUCGAGUCGAGUACGUGGUUAGUCAUAACACGUCAGUAGCCCCCAAGUGCCUGGUUGAAUCGAAGACUCGACUAGGGACUUUUCCCGUAAAGAAUGAGCUUAUUCUGCUGUUGAGCCAGUUGCAUAGUGCUGUAGACUUUGGUACUUUACCGACUCGUACUUUGAAUGAGAAUUAUUUUGACUCAGAAAAUUUCUGAGGUGAUACUUUAGUGUUUAACUGUUAAAUAUGAUCUGAUAGUGGAUCAAUGCGGUGAUUAGGAGUCAUAGGGAUAUAUGCUUAAUGCGCCCAGAUACUCGAGAAGUCGAGUCUAGUUAAUCGCUCUAGAGCGAAUACAACACUAGCUUUUCAUUCGCAUUCGAGUUCCCGGGCUCGAACCUGGCGACUGGAGAAUUUUGACUUAGCCUGCUGGGGUCUUAUAGAGUCAAAUUCCAGUUUUUAAGUACUCGACUCGUUCGUCAAGAUUGCUUGAACUGGAAAUACGCAGCUGGUACGUUUACAGUCCCUAUAAGAAGCCUACGUGUCUUAUCUUCAUGUAAUGAACAUGGUUGCAGGGAGCGACCCUUAAGUGAAAGUUGUUACCUUCAUACAAUAAGUAUGGAUUUGACUUGAAAUAACGUAGCUGCUAUGUUUCCAGGCCCGUAAGAGAACUUUUGGGUCUUAUCUUUAUGCAAUGAGCAUGGAUCUACUGAAAUACGCAGCUGGUACGAUUUCAGGCUCUUUGGACGAGACUCAAGAGGCUUACUGUUAUGCGAAUGAGCAUAAAUAACUGAGGUGCCGUAGCUGGUGCGACUCAAUUGAGUCGAUUAUAUGAAAUCGACUGUCUUCUGCCAGGGUCAUUACCCUGUUUUUACUUUUGUGAAUAAAGAAUAAACAAUAGAUGACUAUAUGAAGUCUUUAAUAUAAAGCGACAACUGAUUAAUUCGCGACUUGAAUGAGAGUCUUUAGUAUUCAUAAUCGAGACUCAAGACGAGUCCCAACAUUCUUAUGAUACAACUCCACCUCCCUAUAUGGGAGAUAUGAGAGAUAGCUUUUGAGUCAUGAUAUUUGAGUCAGACUCCGUCACUGAUGACGUACCUGUUGAAGGUGAAGAGCCAUUGGGUCAACAGAUGUGACCGGGUGCACAGUCUAGCCUGACAGCUAGGUGUACUGUUGGCGUGCGUCAAUGGGAAAACGGUCACACUUCACGCAGUAAAUAUGGCAUAAUGAUUUUAUGAAUUCCUGCGCCCGAAAGAGGGGUGGCCGUUUCUGUUUUCACCGCUUCACAUCCCGGUCGAUGUGGGACACGUGGCCAAGAUAAAGAUCUUGCGGCCCGGAUUCUUCGGCCGGAUUUAGCCUAUAAAAGGAGGAAGGUGAAAAGGGAAUGCCUUUUACCCUUCUUCUUCCUCGCGAAAUCAGCUCAGGCGCUAGAGCUCUCUGCUUCCAUAGCCCAAAAACUGUUGCGAGUUCCUUCAACGACCAAGAAUCCCACACCAUCCAGAGAUGGGCAAGACCAAGACCGCGGGUUCUAAGACCGAUGCCGGCAAAAGAGAUGCCGGAAGGGAGUCGUUCCCUGGCCCGUGGUGGCCGACAAUCGCAUCAAGAUCCUGGAACUCCAGGACGUGGGAUUGUUGCCGGGGGGGGGGGGGGGGCUGAUGAGGUUCGCUUCCGGGCAAAGGAGGAGUACCCGCUACCGUUGCUAGGUGAGCGGGUUGUCUUCCUCGAUUAUGUGCUGCGAGGGCUCUCUUUUCCCCUUCAUGCCUUUUUCCAUGCUAUGCUGCUAGCCUAUGGGCUGCAGCUUCACAAUCUGCCCCCCAAUUCUUAUUUGCAUGUUGCGUGCUUCAUCACACUGUGCGAAUGCUUCUUGGGGGUGAGCCCUCAUUGGGGGCACUAGAAGCGGAUCUUUAUGAUCAAAAGCUAGAAGGUGGAGGCCGUUGGGAGCGUCAACUUCCAGGUACGGCCCGACACCAAAUACUUCUCCCUCCAGCAGCGCGAAUCUGUGCAAGGCUGGAGGUUGAAGUGGUUCUACAUCCGAUCUGACGCCCCGGGUGCCGAUCCAAGUCUUCUUGCCUUCUCAAUCAAGAAGAAGAAAAAGAAGACGGCGGCAUGGAGCCACGAACUGACGCCUGCAGAGGAGUCUGAGGCGACUCCCUUGAUGGCUAAGAUGCACUUCCUUAUGGGACAGGGGUUGACAGGUGUUCACCUGAUAGCUCUGUUCCUCAGGAUGAGGAUCCAGCCGCUGCAAGCUCGUGUUCACCCGAUGUGGUCCUUCGAAGGACCCGGGGAUCCCACUCGGGUGAAUGCGGAAGAACUAUAUUUGAACGAACUGGAGUCGCGGGUGCAAAGGUUAACGACCCUGAUCGACGUGACUCCAGGCAAGAUUGACUCGCGAGUAGUCGCUUUUGGCCCUGACAGGCCGAGGGAAAAGGUAAUUUAUAUUUCUGCCAUUUUGAGCUUGUAUUUGUAAGCUACUGAUCCGCUUGCUGGUUGUAGGGAUUCGAAGAUCCCUUGAGUCAACCUCCUCCUGCAUGGGAGGAGGAGCUGGCCGAUGAGUCCUCGGAGUCGCCGGAGCAGGCGAGCCACUCCGAGACUGAAGAGGUUGCCCUGGAGACGAGGAGGAAGCGCAGCAGGGAGUCAAACCCCAAGUCUGAUGAUCAGUCGACGGGUGUCGAGGGUCCCUCAUCUCCUCCUCUUGCAGCCAAAAAGACCAAGACAGGCGGCCCAGCGCCUUUUCGCCGAUUUGGCCUUCUUGGCCGAGUCACCCAGGCCAGGUAGGUGGUUCUUCAUACAUCAGCUCUCCAAAUAGUGCAAUCUAAAUACUGAACUAGCUGUUUUCCUUUGCCAGCUCUGUGGCCUCAGGUGACCAACCAACGACCCAGGCUAUUGAGCCCACUGGGUCGGACCCGAAAACUUCGGGUCCCUCAAUCGUCGUCGAGACGUUUGAGCCUCAGGUAUCGAUGCCUGAGGCGCCUUCUCCACUGAGUGUGGAGCAUCAACCCCAAAGGUUGUCCCGCUAGUUGACACACUUGGAGAGGCAUGGAGCCGGAACGGUUUCCUCGACUUCGGCUUGUCAUGUAAGUCUUGAGUCCUUUUGUCAAGUAAACUUCUUUUGUUAAAAUUUUUACUCUCCCGGUGGGAUUAUGAGUCAGAUGCUGACGUAAUCACUGUCGCAGCCGAUCAUCCGCUCCAUAACGGAGUUUGUUGAUCGCUAUGAUGCGGUGACGGCUGAGCGAGAUCAGCUUCGCCAAGACUUGGAGCGAAGCCAGCAAGAGCUGAGGUCUGCUCAAGGUAAUGCUUCCAGCUUAGUCUUUCUUUGAGUUGAAAAACUAUUGUGUCUUACUGUUUUGUCGUCUAGAUCUCCUUUCUCAGGCUAACUCCCUCAAAGACGCCGCCGAGCUUCAAUCCAAGAGCUUAGAGAAGAAGCUUGCUGAUCUGGCCAGGGAGUCGAAAGAGAAGCUAGAGGCUGAAAAACGCCUUGCCUAAGAAGCUUCGGGCGCCCUUCUCGCCAAGGAGGCCGAGAAGGAGAAGACGAGAUUCGUCCGACUCCAAGGAGUCAUUGGUCCCCUCACAGGUAAGAAUAUCGUAGUUGAAUCCACUCAUUUGGAUAUAUUGUUAACGCUUUGGCUCUUUUGCAGGCCUGGUUUCCUUGUCUGGUCUCCUACCUUCGAGUGAAAGUUCACUCGACCGGGUGAUUGACGCUGCGGCACGCGUCUGCUUUGGAGCGGCGACUGGAGUCCAGGGAACCUCCCGGGUGCUCACCAGUUUGUUCGGGAAGAUGUUUCUUGACGAGCCGGUGCCUGAAUCGCUAGGGAAACUCGUAGAGUUUUUCAGCGCUGACCUGGAUCCUAUGGACGAGUUUAGCCGGGUUCAGACCAACUCCGGUGCGGAGUCGACGUUCGUGUUAGCGUUAGCACACGGUGUCGGCGAGGACGUGUUGCGGAAGGUGGCUUUGGGCGUUCCCUUGUUACCUAGAGGGGAGGAGGUAGCUUUGACACCUUACUUCCAGCUCAGGGAAGAGCUGGCGGCCCAGCUGUCGGCUCAGCUGGGGAGCAUGGCAUCUAAGGGAGAGGUGGCUCUGCCAUCGUCCACUCCUGCGCCGAGCCAGGAGGUGGGCCAAGCUUGAGGCAUAGACUUCUUUAGGCUUUCUCCUGUCCUCUAUGUAUUUUCCCCCCUUUUUUUGUAUCGUUUUUGCUCGAAUGUCAGCAUUAUCAAUAAAGAAACAUCCUUGUUCCUUUGCACUGAUAUGAGUCGGACUCCUUCCUUUUAGUUAAGACUCGUGUCUUUGAAUCAUUUCAGGGACUGAAAAGGGGGUAUUUCUCUUCUGCAGCGGUAGAAACAGACCCCGACUUUGACAGUCGAGGUAGACACAGAGAGGGUUGUGACACCUAAGUCGAAUAUCGUGAGAGCCACGUUCUCGGCUUAGAUGCUCCCUUCAAAAACCUCGGAGUCGACAGCUCCAAAGGAGGUUCCUUCCCUGAAAUGAUUCAAAGACAAGACUCGAAGGGAACUAGAGUUCCUUCGUCGAUGCCUCCAAGAAGCCGAAAACCCGAGCCAAAAACUUGGCGAUGGAGAGUCGGAGAGCCGCGAGCGAGUUUCAGAUUACCAAGACCAAGUUGAAAGCGGCUGCCGCACGGGAAGAGUUUAUCUUCGAGGAGCUUCGCGGGCUGAGUUCUCAGCUUCAAUGUGACCCACUGCCUCCUUUUUGCUUGGAUCUUCUUCUUUUCGGCUUAUCCUUUACAAACAAGAGUUGUUUGCAGAUGUGCAAGCCGACCCGUGAGCUAAGCAAAAUCGGGUAAACAGUGCCCCGAACGCUCGUCAGACGAUCGAUCAUCAUUCUGGUCUGACCGAGCGAGGGUCAUGAGCUGAUGCUUUUGUGAGACCACAUAGAUAAGAAUAAAAGCUUCUUCAACUCCCACUUAGAGACUUUGAAGGCAAUUCAUCAGGCAUUCUGGCCCUUGGAGGAGGUGCCCCAAGAGCUGAGCAAGCUGACCCGAAAGCUUGGGUAAGAUAGCGUCUUUCGGGAGCUGAUGUACCGUCAGCUGGUCCGGGGGGCGAAGAUACUGUUAGAAAGGAAGUUCGACCCGUUGUCGGUGAUAAUGUUGUGAGGUACUCCAAAGCGGAAUACGAUGGAGUGAACGAAUGCGAUGGCAGUCAUUCCCGUGGCGUUUGUGAUGGGCAUUGACACUAUCCAUUUGGUGAACUUGUUGAUUGCGACAAGCAGAAAAGUAUGACCCCCUUCUUUUGAUCGUUGAAGUGGCCCGACCAUGUCGAGUCCCCAUUGAGCGAAAGGCCAAGCCAAUGGUAUUGUUUUGAGUUUGGAAGCCAGGCCAUGCGGCUUAGUUGCGAACAUCUGGCAGGCCACGCAUCGGGUGAUGAUGUCGUCGGCGUCCUGCAUCGCUGUCGGCCAGUAGAAGCCGGCUCGAAAAGGCUUUGCCGCAAUAGUGCGGCUGCUUGCAUGGUGACCGCAUGUGCCCUGGUGUAUGUCGAUCAAAAUCUCCCAUCCUUCCUCAGGUGGAAUGCACCGUUGAGGGACGCUGGAGAUGCUUCGCUUGUAGAGCUCACCUUCAAUGACGAUAAAAGCUUUAGACCGUCUAGCAAUUUGACGUGCUUCUGCGACGUCUGCAGGUAGCUCUUGUCGUAUCAUGUAUACAAGAAAGGGUUGCAUCCACGGCUCGACCAUGAGCACCUCAUCGGGUUCUUCUUCACCGGUUGCGACUGCAGGGUCGUCCGGUGAGUCAGGGUCGAGAGGUUUUUGCUCACCGUCGAUUAGUGUUGACUUCUUGGGACUCGAAGUAUUCUUUUCUUUGAUGGAUCUCUGGUGCAUGAUCUCUAGGAAUACUCCAGACGGGAUUGGGGAACGAGUCGAGCCGAUGUUGGCCAAACUGUCCGCUUCGUCAUUGCUGUUUCGGCCAAUGUGAUGCAGCUUGCAUCCGUCGAACUGGCCUUCCAGUACGUUGUAGAGAUCGCGAUAAACAAUCAUGGAAUCGGAGAUGGUGUCACACGACUUCAUCUGUUGCUGAACGACGAGGUAUGAGUCGUCGUAUCAUGAGCCUUGUGGCCCCGCAAGCUUUGGCCAUGCGCAUGACAUGCAAGAGGGCCUCGUACUCGGCUUCAUUGUUUGAAGGGUUUUGAAAAUGCAUCUGAAGCACGUAGCGGAGUCUAUCACCUUUGGGUGAAAUAAGCACAACACCCGUGCCUGCACCUUCAUGUCGCUUUGACCCAUCGAAAUACAUCGUCCAUGAGCUUGACAUGUCGGGCAGGCUCGGAGUCUGAGCCUCUGUCCACUCGGCAAUGAAGUCAGAGAGCACUUGUGAUUUGAUCAACUUCUGUCGUUCGUAGGUUAUGUUGCGAGCUGAGAGCUCGAUUCCCCACUUGGUGACUCGUCCCGUCGCUUCAGAGUUGUUCAAUAUGUUGACGAGAGGAGCCUCGCUGACAACCACAACUGUGUGUUGCUGGAAAUAGUGUCUUAACUUGCGUGCUGUUAGAAAGACUCCAUACGCAAGCUUUUGAUAGUGUGGGUAGCGUUGCUUUGUAGGCGAGGGGACCUCACUGAUGUAAUAGACUGGACGCUGAACACCGUGGGUCUUACCAUCUUCGGCUCGCUCAACUACAAUCGUUGUGCUGACCACCUGAGUGAUGGCUACGAUGUAUAAUAGGAGCUGCUCAUCUUCUUGUGGGGCGACGAGGAUCGGCGAGGUUGACAAUAGGUGCUUCAAGUUUGCGAAAGUAGCACUGGCCUCUGGCGUCCACGCGAAGUCGUCUUUCUUCUUUUUCAGAAGCUAGUAGAAAGGCAAGGCUUUCUCACCUAGCCUACCGAUGAAUCGGCUCAGGGCCGCGAGUCGACCGGUGAGCUGCUGGAGCUCAUGAAUUUUAGUCAGCUCCUUUAUGGUUAGGAUGGCUCUGAUUUUUGUCGGGUUUGCCUCAAUGCCUCGAGCCGACAGAAAGUGUCCAAGGAUUUUCCUGGCAGGUACUCCGAAGGUGCAGACGUGGCCUGCUGGCGCUGGAUACGACUCGACAGCAGCAAGUGUUUGCUCCGAAGAGUGGUUCAUUACCUCGACCAAGUUAGCCUGUAGUACGUGGGCCGAUGAGACUCCAAUGGCCGGACUCGCCGGUGUCGUCAUGACGGCCCUAUUGCUGGGGUAAUGAGGAUAACUCAUUUGUGAGUUUGUUUGUUGUGCUCUGGUGAGCUCGAGGUGUAACUCUUUGAAUCGUCUGCACUCCCGCAGGGGAUGGCUAGGGUUGAUGUUGCCCUGUUCAUCUUUGUAAACAUGGAAUGGGCAAGAGGCCAUCAACUGCUGAGAGAGCGUAGGUUGGCCUCCGUUGCAUCGCCACUGAGGCUUAGGCUCGCGGAUUUCGCCGCUGCGGUAACCCUCCACGUGCGAAGUGGCUGCGAUGAGAUCAGGCGAGGCUAGUUCUUCGUGUGUAGAAUAAUAGUUUUUGGUAUACUGUGUGCUAAGUAUUCUUUUCCUAUCAAUGAACUUUUCAUAAAAGAAUUCUCAUAAUAAAAUAUGAGAAUUCUUUUAUGAAAAGUGAAGUAUUCUUGCAAUAGGAUUUAAAACUUCCACCUAUCUUAUCCAAAAUCAUUGCUUUAAGGUUGGUAAAUCCUAUUAAUAAGAGCAUAAAAGCUUUCAUUCUAUAAAUUUGUCUAAAAUAAAAAAGGGUUUCUAUUUAAUCAUGAAAUUAAAAUGCAUAAAUAGAAAAGAGUUUUUGGAUUUUCUCCAUUGUAUCAAAAGAAUUUAAAAAAUGGAAACGAGAAACUAAUUAAAAAAAAAUUUCUUCUAUAUUCCAACUUAGAAAAAAGGAGUUCCAACUCUUUCAAGCAGUGUUUCUAUUAGGCAAAGCAAGAGUUUAUUGUAAAAAAAAUCGCAAUGAUACUACCAAACGAAGUCUAUUUAAAUGAAGACUCUAAUGUUCCUAAAUUUUAUGGACUUUCCCAAUCUGGACGGUUCGUGAGAUAAUAACUAUUAUUCUUUUAAGUUACCUAUUAUUUGAAGUUAGCCGCCAUGGUGAAAUUGGUAGACACGCUGCUCUUAGGAAGCAGUGCUCAAGCAUCUCGGUUCGAAUCCGAGUGGCGGCAUUCUCGAAAAAGAAUACAAUAGAUUAUAAAAUGGAUUCAAUUCGAAAUUUACAAUUUUGUAAUGGGACCUUCCCCUUAUGCUAUUUGCAACUUUAGAACAUAUACUAACUCAUAUUUCUUUCUCAACCAUUUCAAUUGUGAUUACGAUUCAUUUGAGAGCCUUAUUAGUUCGUGAACUUGGGGGAUUACGCGAUUCGUCAGAAAAAGGAAUGAUAGCUACUUUUUUCUCUAUAACAGGAUUCCUAGUUUCUCGUUGGCUUUCUUCGGGACAUUUUCCAUUAAGUAAUUUAUAUGAGUCAUUGAUCUUCCUUUCCUGGGCUCUGUAUAUUCUUCAUACGAUUCCUAAGGUACAGAACUCUAAAAAUGAUUUAAGCACAAUAACUACGCCAAGUACUAUUUUAACGCAAGGCUUUGCCACGUCAGGUCUUUUAACUGAAAUGCAUCAAUCCACAAUACUAGUACCCGCUCUACAAUCUCAGUGGUUAAUGAUGCAUGUCAGUAUGAUGUUACUAAGCUAUGCAACUCUUUUGUGUGGAUCUUUAUUAUCUGCCGCUAUUCUAAUCAUUAGAUUUCGAAAUAAUUUCAAUUUUUUUUCUAAAAAGAAUAAAAAUGUUUUAAAAAAAACAUUUUUAUUUAGUAAGAUGGAAUAUUUCUAUGCAAAAAGAAGUUAUUUUAAAAGCGCCUCUGUUCCUUCAUUUCCAAAUUAUUACAAAUAUCAAUUAACUGAGCGUUUGGAUUCUUGGAGUUAUCGUGUGAUUAGCCUAGGAUUUACCCUUUUAACCAUAGGUAUUCUUUGUGGAGCAGUAUGGGCCAAUGAGGCGUGGGGAUCCUAUUGGAAUUGGGAUCCUAAAGAAACUUGGGCUUUUAUUACUUGGACCAUAUUCGCAAUUUAUUUACAUAGUAGAACAAAUCAAAAUUGGAAGGGUACGAAUUCCGCACUUGUAGCUUCGAUAGGAUUCCUUAUAAUUUGGAUCUGCUAUUUCGGUAUCAAUCUAUUAGGAAUAGGUUUACAUAGUUAUGGUUCGUUUACAUUAACACCUAAUUGAUUACAUAAAAUAAAACCUUCAUUUCAUUAAGGUUUUUACUUUUUCGUUUUAUUUGAGAACCCCUUGAGCGCCUUCUCAAAGGGUUCUCAAAAAUGCGAGAUAGAUCUAAUUAGACUUUUUUAUUUUUUUUUCUCCAUUAAUAGAGCGGGCUAGUUAAAAAAACCUAUUUAGGGUAAUAAUUGGAUAAGAGAGCCUCCACCCUGUCAACGGAUAGGGAGAGAACAAAAUCUGGAUAAAUACCAAUUCCUAUUACUGGUAAAAAGAUACAGAUUAAAAGAAAGAGUUCUCGUGGUCCAGAAUCCAUAAAAUUUGCGUUUGGAACAUUAAAUAGUUUGUAUCCAUAGAACAUCUGGCGUAACAUAGAUAAUAAAUAAAUAGGAGUUAAUAUCAUUCCAAUUGCCAUUACAAAAGUAAUUAGCGUUUUUGGCAUUAACAGAAAUUUUGGACUAGUAAUUAGUCCAAAAAAUACUAAUAAUUCUGCGACAAAACCGCUCAUUCCUGGUAAUGCAAGAGAAGCCAUUGAAAAGCUACUAAACAUGGUAAAAAAUUUCGGUAUUAGAAUAGAUAUCCCCCCCAGUUCUUCGAGAUAAACAAGACGCAUUCUAUCACAAGCCGUUCCUGCCAAGAAAAAAAGUGUAGCGCCAAUAAAUCCGUGGGAUAAUAUUUGUAAAAUAGCUCCAUUGAGUCCAAUGUUGGUUAUGGAACCAAUUCCUAUAAUUAUGAAACCCAUGUGAGAUACAGAGGAAUAGGCUAUUCUUUUUUUGAAAUUUCGUUGACCAAGAGAAGUUGAGGCUGCAUAGAUUAUUUGGAUCGCUCCUAUUAUUACCAACCAGGGCGAAAAUAGAUAAUGAGCAUGAGGUAACAAUUCCAUGUUGAUACGAAUCAACCCAUAUGCUCCCAUCUUUAAUAGGAUUCCCGCUAAAAGCAUACACGUACUAUAAUGUGCUUCCCCAUGGGUAUCUGGUAACCACGUAUGGAGGGGUAUAAUCGGCAAUUUGACAGCAUAAGCAAUAAGGAAGCCAAAAUAUAAAAGUAUUUCCAAGGUUGCAGGGUAUGAUUGAUUAAUUAAUCUUUCCAAAUCUAAUCCCGGUUCGUUGGAACCGUACAAGCCCAUACCCAGAACUCUAAACAAAAAAAGGAUUUCCAAAAUAGAUCAUAGAUAAUUCUAACAAUUGCCAAUAAAUCCCGGCUUUUUACCAAGUUGAUGGUAAGAAAUCCCGGGACCUAGAAAUUCAUUUCGUACAAUUGAACCUUUUCAAACUGUUUCUUUUUGAGAACCAAAAAAACUUGUGCCAAAAUAACGGAUGCGAAGAAGAACAAAAGGCCUUGGACGCGUAAUGGAUCCUGAAGCACUAUUUCUGCAUCCCCCUGACCAAAUCCUCCCACAUUGGGAUUACUUGUUAAUGGUUGAUCAAGCUUGAUGGAUUCCCCCUCUGAAACAAGAAGUUCUGGCCCGGGAGGUAUAAUAUCAAUCAAUUGGCGUCCAUCCGAUGCAUCCACUAUGGAUAUUUCAUACCCCCCUUUUUCUUUACGUAGUAUUUUUUUUACUAUACCUGUUGACGUAGCAUUAUAGACCGUAUUGUUACUCUUGCUACCAUCAGGAUAGAUCUGCCCUCUUCCUCGGUUUCCCCCUACAUAUAUGGGAUAUUUUAAGAAAUGAGCAUCUUUCUUCGUAGCAGGAUCAGGGGAAAGAAUGGGAAAGACAAUUUCACUAUAUUUCUUACCGGGAACAGGGCCUAUCACAAGAAUAUUUUUUUUAUCGGGACGAUAACUCUGAAAAGAGAGAUUUCCUAUCUUUUCUUUCAACUCAGGGGAAAUACGGUCGGGCGGCGCUAAUUCGAAUCCCUCGGGCAAAAUAAGAACAACACCCACAUUUAACCCUCCCUUUUUCCCAUUAGCAAGAACUUGUUUCAGUUGCAUAUCAUAAGGAAUUCGGAGAACUGCUUCAAAUACAGUAUCGGGAAGCACAGCUUGGGGAACUUCAAUAUCCACGGGCUUGCUAGCUAAAUGGCAAUUGGCGCAUACAAUUCGUCCAGUUGCUUCUCGUGGGUUUUCAUAACCCUGCUGCGCAAAAAUGGGAUAUGCAUUUGAAAUAGAUGUCCGAGUUAUUACGUAUAUCAUGAUCGAUACAGAAAUCGAUCGAGUCAUCUGUUCCUUUACCCAAGAAAAAGUAUUUCUAUUUUCCAUGUCCAAUCGCAGAUCCCAGAAUUUCUACAAUAAAUUAGAUAGGUAGCUAAGCUAAUCUAGUUCCCUAUACACGAGUCUGUUGUCAUUCUACUGCAACAGUUGUACCGGAAUGAUGAAUACCUUUAAGCAGGUAGAAAUAGAAAGAAUUUUGCUAAAAUGGAAAGGGGCCUUUUUCUAAAGAAAGAAAGAUGCUAAUUUGAUUAAUAUCAGGAGAUCAAAUGAAUUUAUGCUUCACUAAUUGAAUGAUAAAUGACUACAAGCGAAGGGGAUAGACGGUUUAAACAAAAAAAGACCCAAAAUUUCAAACAUGUAUCUAGAAUUACUGGAAAACUACAAACAAAAAUAGUAAAAAUUAGCUCGUUAGGAGCCCAUCCAAGAUCGUUGUAGACCCAACGAAUGACUAGUUCCCAACCCCGGGUGGAGUGAAAUCCAACAAAAAAAUCAGUAACCAAAAGGAUAAAAAAAGCUUUUAUUGAGUCAUUUAAGUUAUGGAAGAAUUCCUGAACCCAAGAAUUCCAAAUGACAAGUUCCUCUUUACCAAAAAAAAAAAGAACUACUUAGAAUAGCCAAACAGAUUAUAUUUGUCGAGAAAUGCAAAAUGAUAUGGAGAUGAUCUUCAUUAUCUAUUUUGACCCAUUGUAUUAUUUCCUUGUGUAUUCCUAUAGGAGGUUUUUGUACAUGUGUCUUUGGUUUCUCUUUUAUCAUCUCGUCCAAGAGAGAAAGUUCUUCUAAUUCUAUGAAUCUUUCUAGAAUCCUUUUCUCUUGAAUAUCAGUUAAGAGAGUUUCAGAUUGUCUGGUAUUCCACCAAUUCUUAAUCCAAAGUUCCAGACAUUUGUUAACUGAGAAAGAGGCCCCCCAGGGCAAAAGUACGAUAAAUACAAGAUAUAGUAAAGAAGGCAAUGCUUUCUUUUUUUUCAUUUUUGAUCUAUAAAUUGAGUUGUUAAUGAAUCCGCUUCAUUCGCUGACUCUAUGAUGAUAUUUUUUUUUCUUUGAAGCAAAAACUCUAUAGCAAGGUUUGAGACCCUGUAUCUAUUCUUCUUUUUUGUAUUGUAUAUUAGUGGAAUUUCAUUGCAUUGGGUUCUUUCUUAUAUCUAGAUGGAGUGGAAUAGAAAAAAAGAUGAAAAUGGAAAGAAUAGUAUGCCAUAUAUCCCACUUGGGCAAAAUAAAUUUAAAGAAAUUUUAUCUUAUCCUCGUUUGUUCCUUCCUUUAGAUAAAUACUAAAAAAGCCCCUUACAAUACAAUAACAAAUCAAAUUUCGGAGGGACUUCCUCCCCAUGUUGAGAAAACUUUUCUUCUUCCAAUUCUUCUUCAUUCUAUUCAGUUCCAAAAAAUACAAUGGAUAUUCAAAAUACUUCAAUUGGUACGCGCAAGAAAUAGGCCAAUUCGGCAGCUUUUUGUUCAAUUUCUCGUGGAGUAAAAAACUUAUCAUCAGUACGAGUCAAGGGAAUGACCCCCUGGCCCCGGAUUUCCAUAUAAAGGAUACGACGAGGAUAAAAACCCUCUUUAACCUGAAUUCUAAUUGAUUGGAUAUCCCGCAUAAGGAAUCGAAGGAAGACGCGACGUUUUAUUCCAGGGAAUCCCCAACGAAAAAUGCACACGAUUCCCUCUUUUCUAUCGAAUCGGUCAUAACCACUACCUACAUUCCACAAAAUAGCACACCACAAGUAGGAGCUAAUGAAUAAGCCCGCGAUUCCGUAGAAAGACAUCACGACUCCCUGCGGAAAAAAAAGAAUUUGUUGAGAUGGAAGUAUAGAUAUCAUAUUCUUACCAAGAUAACUGGAAACCCCAACUGAUAAGAAUCCUAGUGAACCUAGAAAAAGAAUAGAGGCCCAGAAAAAAUUACCCCUUUUUCGAGAACCUUUUAGAAGUUCUACCCAUAUGUGUUCUGAUCGCCAAUUCAUAUUAGAUAUACUAAAUCCAGCAGCAGUCGAUUGAAAUUGAGAGAAUAAGCUAAAUGAUUUUGACUUUACUUUUUUUGAUUCUGAAAUCGCCUUCAGCAACGAGUACUCUUGUGAAAUAAUAGGUUAGAUACACUGACUUUCUAUUCAAAAAAUAUUCGUUGAUUCAAUUAAAAUAAAAAUAGCUAUACCCGGCUCCGCAUAUUCAUGCAUUUAUGCUUGUAGCCUAUAUCCGCAUCCAUAGCCGUUUUUCAUUUGUGUGUAGAAAGAGCCACAUACCCUACCAUAUUCUAUUACUUACACUUACUUACACUAAAAAAAUACUAGACAAUCUUAUUUUUCUGCACAUAAAGAAAUAAAGAAGCCAUUGCAAUUGCCGGAAAUACUAAGCCUACUAAAGGCACGAAAAUCGAAGGUAAGUUUAAAUCCGUCAUAGAAUAGGUGUCUCAAUUCAAAUUAACUAUUUCUAUCUAUUCGAAAAAUGUCUUAAGAUUCUUAUGAUAUAAUUAAGUAUAUCUAUUAUGAGUAAUAUUGACUAUUGUAUUUUUUAGUUUGCAAAAAAAAAAAAAUUUUAUAGAAGACUUUUUUUCUGUAAAUACUGCGUAUUUGAUUCUAUUAUCAUAUGAUAAUAGUAUAUUUGAUUUGUAUUUAUUUAUUAUACCUUUAUAUAUUCUAGAUAUAUAGAAUAGGCGAAUCUCGAUUUGUGAAGUCUCAUGAUCGUAUCAUGAUCCAUUUUUAUUCGGCUCAAUCUUUUUUUUUAGAAAAAAAAAGAUUGAGCCGAGUUUAAUUGCAGUCAAUUAGAAGAAUAAAGAAGAAUUACUGCAUUUCGUAACUUAUUUUUUCUCUUUUUAUUUUGUUUCUUUUUAUUUAGACCUUCUUCAUAUUUAGUUUUAUCUACUAAUCGAUAGUAUCUACCGGCGCGAACUCGAAUUUGAUCGCCUUCCAUACUUCACAAGCUGCGGCUAGUUCAGGACUCCAUUUGCAAGCUGCUCGGAUAAUUUCAUUACCUUCACGAGCAAGAUCGCGCCCUUCGUUACGAGCUUGUACACAGGCUUCUAAAGCCACUCGAUUAGCUGCUGCACCAGGUGCAUUUCCCCAAGGAUGUCCUAAAGUUCCUCCACCAAAUUGUAAUACAGAAUCAUCCCCAAAGAUUUCGGUCAGAGCUGGCAUAUGCCAAACAUGAAUACCACCUGAAGCUACUGGUAUAACACCUGGCAUGGAUACCCAGUCCUGAGUGAAAAAGAUACAGCGAGCACGAUCUUUUUCAAUAAAAUCGUCGCGCAAUAAAUCAACAAAACCUAAAGUGAUUUCGCGUUCCCCUUCUAACUUACCUACUACUGUACCGGCGUGGAUAUGAUCUCCCCCAGACAUACGCAAUGCUUUAGCUAAUACACGGAAAUGCAUACCAUGAUUUUUCUGUCUAUCAAUAACUGCAUGCAUUGCACGGUGAAUGUGAAGAAGUAAGCCAUUGUCGCGGCAAUAAUGAGCCAAAGUAGUAUUUGCGGUGAAUCCCCCAGUUAAGUAGUCAUGCAUUACAAUAGGAACACCUAAUUCUCUCGCAAAAACAGCUCUCUUCAUCAUUUCUUCACAUGUACCCGCAGUUGCAUUCAAGUAAUGCCCCUUGAUUUCACCGGUUUCCGCCUGUGAUUUAUAAAUAGCUUCGGCACAAAAGACAAAACGAUCUCUCCAGCGCAUAAAUGGUUGUGAGUUUACGUUUUCAUCAUCUUUGGUAAAAUCAAGUCCACCACGUAGACACUCAUAACACGCUCUACCGUAAUUUUUUGCAGAUAAUCCCAAUUUUGGCUUAAUAGUACAUCCCAAUAAAGGACGACCAUACUUGUUCAACUUAUCUCUUUCCACUUGGAUACCGUGAGGCGGGCCUUGGAAAGUUUUUGAAUAAGUAGGGGGAAUUCGUAGAUCCUCCAGACGUAGAGCACGUAGGGCUUUGAAACCAAAUACGUUACCUACAAUGGAAGUAAACAUGUUAGUAACGGAACCCUCUUCAAAUAGAUCUAAUGGAUAAGCUACAUAACAGAUCCAUUGACUGUCUUCCCCAGGAACAGGCUCGAUGUGAUAGCAUCGUCCUUUGUAACGAUCAAGACUAGUAAGUCCAUCAGUCCAAACAGUUGUCCAUGUACCAGUAGAAGAUUCGGCAGCUACUGCAGCCCCUGCUUCUUCGGGCGGAACCCCAGGUUGAGGAGAUACUCGGAAUGCUGCCAAGAUAUCAGUAUCCUUGGUUUCAUACUCCGGGGUGUAGUAAGUCAAUCUAUAAUCUUUAACACCAGCUUUAAAUCCAACACUUGCUUUAGUUUCUGUUUGUGGUGACAUAAGUCCCUCCUUACAACUCUUGAAUUAAGAAUUCUCACAAUAACAAGGUCUACUCGAUGUGAAUUAGGCGUAAAUGAAACUUUAGCAAAAAUCUCAUAAAAAAAAAGAGAUAUUCAAUUAAUAGCAACUCAUUACAGAAAAUUGAGGGCAUGCUUAAGUUAAUUAAUAUUUUUCAUUCAUAUAUAAUGCGUAUACCCUGUGUAUGUUCUAUCCUAUAGGAAUUUCACUAUAGGAAUUCGAUAGGAAUUGAGUUGUUGUUAUGGUAAGUUAACACCGUUCGUUAUUAAACCAAGGAUUUGAUUUAACAAAUCCAUCAUUAUUGUAUACUCUUUGAUAGAUAUAGCGCAACCCAAAUCAAUCCUUAACCUUUUUUUUUACAAAUUAUUAAAGGGCCCCUUUCUUAUUUUGAAAAGAAAUACCUAACUAAAUACUAAGAAAAUUUUCUGUUGACAGCAAUCUAUGCUUCACAGUAGUAUAUAUUUUGUAUAGCGAAGUCCUAGAUAGGAAAGUAGAGUAGGCACAGAUCCUCCACAAAAGGAAAAAUCUAUCUUAUGAAAAAAAGAUUGAUUGAACUUUCCAACGGCCUCAUUCCAUGAGUAAAGGGUUGAAAGGGAUUCGCUUGGGCAAUGAAAUCAAGUCCUGUUCCCCUUUUUUCUCUUAUUGAAUUAACUAAUUGAUUUCCUUUUUACUUUUGGAUUUUUGGAUAUUUUUUUGGAUUUGGUAUUAUUCAACAAGAAAAAAAUAAAAAUUUCGACAAAUUCCUUUUUUUUUUAUUAUGUGAUAAUUAUGAGAACCAAUCCUACUACUUCUCGUCCCGGGGUUUCCCCAAUUGAAGAAAAAAGUACAGGCCGUAUCGAUCAAAUUAUUGGACCCGUGCUGGACGUCACUUUUCCCCCCGGUAAGUUACCUUAUAUUUAUAACGCUUUGGUAGUCCAGAGUAGAGACACUGCCGAUAAGCAAAUUAAUGUGACUUGUGAGGUACAACAAUUAUUAGGAAAUAAUCGAGUUAGAGCUGUAGCUAUGAGUGCUACAGAUGGGUUGAUGAGAGGAAUGGAAGUGAUUGACACAGGAGCUCCUCUCAGUGUUCCGGUCGGCGGAGCUACUCUCGGGCGAAUUUUCAACGUUCUUGGGGAGCCUGUUGACAAUUUGGGUCCUGUAGAUAGUAGUGCAACGUUCCCUAUUCAUAGAUCUGCGCCUGCCUUUAUCGAGUUAGAUACGAAAUUAUCCAUCUUUGAAACAGGUAUUAAGGUCGUCGAUCUUUUAGCUCCUUAUCGACGUGGAGGAAAAAUAGGACUAUUUGGGGGGGCUGGAGUAGGUAAAACAGUACUCAUCAUGGAAUUAAUCAACAACAUUGCUAAAGCUCAUGGGGGCGUAUCCGUAUUUGGUGGAGUAGGGGAACGGACUCGUGAAGGAAAUGAUCUUUAUAUGGAAAUGAGGGAAUCCGGAGUAAUUAAUGAAAAAAAUAUUGAGGAAUCAAAGGUAGCUCUAGUCUAUGGCCAAAUGAAUGAACCACCGGGAGCUCGUAUGAGAGUUAGUUUAACUGCCCUAACUAUGGCGGAAUAUUUCCGAGAUGUUAAUAAGCAAGACGUGCUUUUAUUCAUCGAUAAUAUCUUUCGUUUUGUUCAAGCAGGAUCGGAGGUAUCCGCUUUAUUAGGGAGAAUGCCCUCCGCGGUGGGUUAUCAACCUACUCUUAGUACAGAAAUGGGUUCUUUGCAAGAAAGAAUUGCUUCUACUAAAAAGGGAUCUAUAACUUCGAUCCAAGCGGUUUAUGUACCUGCGGACGAUUUGACUGACCCUGCUCCUGCCACAACAUUUGCCCAUUUGGAUGCUACUACCGUACUUUCCAGAGGAUUAGCUUCCAAGGGUAUUUAUCCAGCAGUAGAUCCUUUAGAUUCAACCUCAACUAUGUUACAGCCUCGGAUCGUUGGCAACGAACAUUAUGAAACUGCGCAAAGUGUUAAGGAAACUUUACAACGUUACAAGGAACUUCAGGACAUUAUCGCAAUUCUUGGAUUGGAUGAAUUAUCGGAGGAGGAUCGUUUAACUGUAGCAAGAGCGCGAAAAAUUGAGCGUUUCUUAUCACAACCGUUCUUUGUAGCAGAAGUUUUUACUGGUUCUGCAGGAAAGUAUGUUGGUCUUGCAGAAACAAUUAGGGGAUUUCAACUAAUCCUUUCCGGAGAAUUAGAUGGCCUACCCGAGCAGGCUUUUUAUUUGGUGGGUAACAUCGAUGAAGCUAGCACGAAAGCUAUAACCUUAGAAGAGGAGAACAAAUCGAAGAAAUGAAAUUAAAUCUUUAUGUACUGACUCCUAAGCGAAUUAUUUGGGAUUGUGAAGUGAAAGAAAUCAUUUUAUCCACUAAUAGUGGUCAAAUUGGGGUAUUACCAAACCAUGCCCCCAUUAACACAGCAGUAGAUAUGGGUCCUUUGAGAAUACGCCUCCUCAAUGACCAAUGGUUAACGGCGGUUCUGUGGAGCGGUUUUGCGAGAAUAGUUAAUAAUGAGAUCAUUAUUUUAGGAAAUGAUGCGGAACUGGGUAGUGAUAUUGAUCCGGAAGAAGCUCAACAGGCACUUAAAAUAGCCGAAGAUAACUUGAGUAAAGCUGAGGGUACGAAAGAAUUGGUUGAAGCGAAACUAGCUCUCAGACGAGCUAGGAUACGAAUCGAGGCUGUCAAUUGGAUUCCCCCAUCCAAUUGAAGACAAUCCAAUGGUUUAUAGUUGAUACAAAGAUAAAGGGAAGAGGGGUAGAAAAAGUUAUUAGAUAGCGAAGCGAAAUAAGCCCAAUGCUAUCUAGUAAUUUUUCUACCUACCUACCUACUAUUGGAUUUGAACCAAUGACUCCCGCCGUAUGAAAGCAAUACUCUAACCACUGAGUUAAGUAGGCAAUUUAUGAUCACAAAGGAAGACCCAUUACUUCGAUCGAUUAUAUAUCGAAUCCCUUUUCUAAGCAAUAACGCUUCCUUAUUGGUAUGUUAUAUACUAAACAGAUACAUAUUUAAAGAGAUACCCUCUGGCAUUAGAGAAUAUUCAUCUUGACAAUAAAUUAUCUAUAUGUUAAGAUAUCUCUGAUAAGGGCUAUAGCUCAGUUCGGUAGAGCAACUCGUUUACACGUGCGCCAAUGCUUUUCAAAGGAGCUUAUUAUGCAAUGAAUAUUUUGGAUCUUAUUGCAAAAUCAAUGUCUUACUUCAUAGAUUCGACAGAAUAGGAGAACAGUAGCCUGACAAAGAGUCAGUUCAGUCCGAUUCAGGUCCCCAUUCUGGUGCCUAAUCAAAUCGAACCCUUAUGGAUUUGCUAGUUGAUAAGGUAAAUAUCCAGCCCACUAAAUGCUAGGCGUAAUGAGGAUAAGGGCCUCCAAAAAACUUCUUUUCGUUCUAUGAACUUUAAGGUGUAUGAAGUCUCAUAGUUAACUCUUGCAGUGGAACGAUAGAGACUCCAUUUCACUUAGGUUGAUUUAAUUUAGGCCGGAGGCAGACCUAAGUCAAGGUAAUCCUCCUUUGAAACACUUUGGUAUUGCUCCUAGAUAGACCAUAAUACAAAUAAUCAAUCAGAGCACAGGGAGCCAUCUCAUUAUCUUUCCGUAAAGAAAAACUAUGGUGGACUAACUGAUCUUUAAAUCAGUUGAUGAAAGAGCCCAAUGCAAAAAAAUGCAUGUUGGGUCUUUGAAACAGUUCGAAUCAUUUCGAUAAUAAUCUGUUUGAUCUGUUUUACCGAGAAGGUCUACGGUUCGAAUCCGUAUAGCCCUAAUAUGUCCUAUUUUUGGAUUUUAGUAUAGAUAUCCUAUGUUUUCCUUAGUAUAGCUUUUAUUUUCACAUUAGUACUUGUUUAUAGACUGGGCGGGCGCCUGCGACAUAGAAUAGGCGUAAAAGCAUUACCACAGGCUCAUUCAUCAAAAAUCAUAGAGAUAAGAAACGAAAAAGUGAUUUCUAUCAAAUCAAUAGAAGAAAAGAGCCCUUCCCUGAUUUGAAUCCCGCCCUUCUUCAAAUAGGGUAUCUCUAGACUUCCCUAUAAAAACUGCAAUGAUUUUCUCCAUCUUGCGAAUUUAUACUUUGUUUUAAGUAUAUUACUUUGCUUAUAUAUACAUUAUCUAAAUCGAUCUACUUAAAAUCCUAAAUAGAAAAAAAAAUAGAAAGAAUUAAAGUAAAGAGUAAAUAAGAAAACAGAAUAUUAUGUCUCAUAGUUCUGAAAUAGAGUUCCUUAUUUUUUUAUAGUAUUACUUCUCAGUCUACUGCAUAGACUAGUCCUCUUAUGUUAAUUAGGUUCUAAAGAUUAUAGAGAAAGCAAAAUAAAGUGAAGGGAUAAAGUAUUUUUUAUAUAAGAAUUAGAUCUAUACCAUAUCUAAAUAGAAUGGAAAAAAAAGAAGGGGAGUUGGGAUUCCAUUGGAUGAAUCUUUAAAGAAGACACAGCACAGAGAAAACAAAGGCUAAACUAAGCGAUUUUGUUUGAACAAAACAGAUUCUUGUUUCACCGAGGAAAAGAGAUAAGUUCUGGAUGAAUUGACAAUGCAUAAUUGAAUUGAUUAAUUUAAGUCUCGUCUAUUCUACAUUAAUGGGAGUACAUUAUGUUUCUGCUUCACGAAUAUGAUAUUUUUUGGACAUUUCUAAUAAUAGCAAGCCUUAUUCCGAUUUUGGCAUUUUGGAUUUCAGGGCUUUUAGCCCCGAUUAGUGAAGGACCCGAAAAGCUUUCUAGUUAUGAAUCGGGUAUAGAACCCAUGGGAGGGGCUUGGCUACAAUUCCGAAUACGCUAUUACAUGUUUGCGCUAGUUUUUGUUGUUUUUGAUGUGGAAACCGUCUUUCUCUACCCUUGGGCAAUGAGUUUCGACGUAUUGGGUGUAUCCGUUUUUAUCGAAGCUUUCAUUUUCGUGCUUAUCCUAGUUGUUGGUUUAGUUUAUGCAUGGCGAAAAGGAGCCUUGGAAUGGUCUUAACUGAAUAUUUAGAAAAAAAAAAAGAAGAAAAAGAUUCCAUUGAGACAGUUAUGAGUUUGAUUGAGUUUCCUUUACUUGACCAAACAAGUUCCAAUUCUGUUAUUUCAACUACACCAAACGAUCUUUCAAAUUGGUCAAGACUCUCCAGUUUAUGGCCCCUUCUAUACGGUACCAGUUGUUGUUUCAUUGAAUUUGCUUCAUUAAUAGGCUCGCGAUUCGACUUUGAUCGUUAUGGAUUGGUACCAAGAUCAAGUCCUAGGCAAGCGGACCUAAUUUUAACAGCUGGUACAGUAACAAUGAAAAUGGCUCCUUCUUUAGUGAGGUUAUACGAGCAAAUGCCUGAACCAAAAUACGUCAUUGCUAUGGGAGCUUGUACUAUUACAGGGGGAAUGUUCAGUACGGAUUCCUAUAGUACUGUUCGAGGAGUUGAUAAGUUAAUUCCUGUGGAUGUCUACUUGCCGGGUUGCCCACCUAAACCGGAGGCGGUUAUAGAUGCCCUAACAAAACUUCGUAAGAAGAUAUCGCGAGAAAUAGUUGAGGAUCGAAUUCGAUCUCAAAAUAAAAACCGAUGUUUUACUACCAGUCACAAGCUUUAUGUUCGGCGCAGUACUCAUACUGGAACUUACGAGCAAGAAUUGCUCUAUCAAUCACCAUCUACUUUAGAUAUAUCUUCUGAAAAUUUUUACAAAUCCAAAAGUAUAGUACCUUCCUACAAAUUAGUGAAUUAGGAGGGGGGUUCUUUUGUCUAGAAAAAUAAAAAGCAAGGCAAUCUUUGAAACUUGCAUCCGAAAUGUGAAAUAUUUAUACAAAACAAAGAGGGAGAGAUCAAGACAAUGCAGCAGGGUUGGUUAUCUAAUUGGCUAGUCAAACAUAAGGUGGUUCAUAGAUCUUUGGGCUUUGAUCACCGAGGAAUAGAGACUUUACAAAUAAAAGCGGGGGAUUGGGAUUCCAUUGCUGUCAUUUUAUACGUAUAUGGUUACAAUUAUUUACGCUCCCAAUGUGCUUAUGAUGUAGCACCCGGUGGAUCUUUAGCUAGCGUGUAUCAUCUUACGAGAAUACAGUAUGGCAUAGAUAACCCAGAAGAAGUAUGCAUAAAAGUCUUUGCCCAAAAGGAUAAUCCUAGAAUUCCGUCUGUCUUCUGGAUUUGGAGAAGUGCCGAUUUUCAAGAACGCGAAUCUUAUGAUAUGGUGGGAAUCUCUUAUGAUAAUCAUCCGCGCCUUAAACGUAUCCUAAUGCCUGAAAGUUGGGUAGGCUGGCCCUUACGUAAGGACUAUAUAACCCCCAAUUUCUAUGAAAUACAAGAUACUCAUUGAAUGAUAAGAAAUUCAUGCGGACUUAUACAACACAACUCCAGAUUUUAUUCAAGUAAAGGAAAAUUUUUACGUUCUGUUCCUAGAUGAAACGGAAUACCUAUUUCGAAUUAAUUCCUAUUAUACAAAAGUAGUCCAGAUAGACUGAGCAAAAAAAGGGUUUCAUUUGGAUUCCCUUAUUUGGAAAAUCACAUAUGAAUUUCCCUCAUAUGAACAGAAAAAUAUGAUGACUCAAAGAAGUUCUCUACCACGAACUUUGUAUCGCGCGCAUGACUUAGCACAAUUGGAAAAGUAAGAUAAGCAAGAAUAAAAAAAUAUUCGUCGUAAUAUGCAGAAUACAAAAUUAAGAAAUGCAAAAAAAAAUAAAGGGGAACCUAAUCUCACCUCCUUCUGUACCAUAAAGAAAAGAACCAGAGAUUUUUACCCUUCUCUAAAAAGAAAAAGAAGUGCCUCUAUAUUAGAGACUUAUCCACCUAGAUGAAUAAAUCAGACUUUAUUUAUAGUAUUAACGAAUAUGUAUCCUAAUCCAUCUUGAGGCAUUUUUAUCAAAACCUAUUCGGUAGAUCUUUUUUUUCUCUGCCAGGAACCAGAUUUGAACUGGUGACACGAGGAUUUUCAGUCCUCUGCUCUACCAACUGAGCUAUCCUGACCUUUUCUUGUGCAUCAUCCUAGUAGAGUAUUUGUAUCUAUGUCAAUUAAAGGGACUCAAAAAUCAAUUAAAGUAUUUCAAAUUCCAAAUUGAAAAAUGGGGGGGUGGUCCUAUGCAUUGUGCAUGGAUUACUUAAUAAUACUUAAAAAUAGAGUUAAUAACCGAGAGUCCUUGCGGAUACUCUAAUAAAAAAGAAAUCUAUUCAAUGAAUAGGAUAAGAUCCAUUGAGUUCUCUUCGCACUCCUUUGUGAAAGAGUAGAAUGAGAAAGCUAAUGAAUCUUAAACCCAUUGAUAAAAAGAAAAAAAGAGGAUAAAAGUUAGGGAAUAAAAGAGGAUAGUUGGGGAAUAAAAAGGAUUUGGGGAUAGAGGGACUUGAACCCUCACAACUUAUAAAGUCGACGGAUUUUCCUUUUACUCGAAAUUUCAUUGUUGUCAGUAUUGACAUGUAGAAUGGGACUCUCUCUUUGUCCUCGUCCGAUUAAUCCACUUUUUAAAAGAUCUCAAGUACUUUGAAUUGAAGGAUUUGAUUACUCAAGAUUCAAUUAGAAUGGAUUCACAAUAAUUCUAAAAAAUUUAUUAAUUUUUUAUUUCAUAAUCCUUCCUAAUUUCAUUCUAAAAAAGAAUAAAGAACCUAUGUUAUACUUGGAUUCUGUGAUUAAUCGUUUACUAUGUUAGUAUCUAUACGUGUUUAUUAGAUGUAAAAAUCCCUUCUUUCUCUAAUUUAAAAGGAUUUCCACUACCAAAACAACCUAAAUAAAUUAACUCGAUUCGUUAGAACAGCUUCCAUUGAGUCUCUGCACCUAUCCUUUUCCUUUGGAUUCUAGUUCGAGAACCCCUUGUUUUCUCAAAACACGGAUUUGGCUCAGGAUUGCCCUUUUUUAAUUCCAGGGUUUCUCUGAAUUUGGAAGUUAACACUUAGCAGGUUUCCAUACUAAGGCUCAAUACAAUCAAGUCCGUAGCGUCUACCGAUUUCGCCAUAUCCCCAUUUUCCUUUUUUUUUGAGACCUGGAUUCCUUGCGUAAUUUCAUCCAUCUCUUAGUUUUUUUGGAAUCGUUGAAUUCAUCACUCGACGUCAUCUAGCAGUUCGAUUCUAUUUGAGAGACCACGCUUGUUUAUUGCAAUUCAGAAUUGCAUUGAUUCUAUCGUUGCUGUAUUUGCAAUUCAAUCCGAAUCAAUAUAUCCCAAAAAUUUUCUCUCCCCCACCGCUCAUCUUACUUUUUUAGAGUAUUAAAAAUCAUACUAUAACGCUUGAUAUUCAUUUUUUUUCUACUCAAAAUUGGCAAUUUUAUUUGCUAUGACUUUAUGUUCUCCUUAGAGAAAUAGGAAUCCUCAAAUUAUUAACAAAUAAAAAAAGAUCUAAAAAAAUGUCUAUAAUGAUCGAAUGAAAACACCAAUAAAUUCGUAUUUUCCCCUUAUUAUUUCUUUAAUAUAUAUAUAUUAUUAUAUCUUUAAUAUAUUUCAUAAUAUAUAUAUAUAUUUCUUUUCUAUGUAUUAGAUUAUUCGUCCGAGCUAUAUCAAAUUGAAAAUAUCUGAAAUCAAAUUCAAUAUAGAAAUUGGAAUCAACUCUUAGAAAAAAGAUUUGCGAAUUAGAGAAAUAAAAAGAAAGUUCAAUAAAUUCUAUACUUUUAUUUAAGGAUAUCCUCUAGUUAAGCAUAUCAAGCUAACUUUAUCUUUAAAAAGUUCUAGUAUUUUUUUAAGUAGAACUUCAAAUUGAGAACUAGUUAAUAGCUAAGAUUAAUAACUAAGAUCUCAGAUUUUACGGAUUUCUAUACUAUACCUAUUUCUAUUUGUUACACUAUUUCUGCUAUCUAAGCCCACUUAGCUCAGAGGUUAGAGCAUCGCAUUUGUAAUGCGAGGGUCAUCGGUUCAAAUCCGAUAGUCGGCUUUUUUUUCGUUAUCGAUGUUCUACGAACAAGAAUCUCUUUUUUUUUUCGGAUUAAAUGGGGAAUCCAGGAUCUUUUUUGUUUUCUACCUUACAAUUUUGCUAGAUACAAAAGAAUAAAAUAAAUAAUAUAUAUACAAAAAAUCCAGAUGUUGAUGAAAUUCUAUUUUUUAUGGUACUUUAGUUGAUUUUACUCUGUUUAUCCUUUAGUUUAAUUCAGUUUUAAUUUCGAUGUAUUCCGUAAUGUAAAUACAAUGAAAUUAAUUGUGUAAAAUGAAAUUUCAAUAAAAUAAAAAAGGAGUUUUCAUGUCCCGUUAUCGAGGACCUCGUUUAAAAAAAAUACGCCGUCUGGGAGCUUUACCAGGACUCACUAGAAAAACACCUAAAUCCGGAAGUAAUCUGAAAAAGAAAUUCCAUUCUGGGAAAAAGGAGCAAUAUCGUAUUCGUCUUCAAGAAAAACAGAAAUUGCGUUUUCAUUAUGGUCUGACAGAACGACAAUUACUUAGAUAUGUACAUAUCGCUGGAAAAGCAAAAAGGUCCACAGGUCAGGUUUUACUACAAUUACUUGAAAUGCGUUUGGAUAAUAUCCUUUUUCGAUUGGGUAUGGCGGCAACCAUUCCUGGGGCCCGCCAAUUAGUCAACCAUAGACAUAUUUUGGUUAAUGGUCGUAUAGUUAAUAUACCAAGUUUUCGUUGCAAACCUCGAGAUAUUAUUACUACGAAAGAUAACCAAAGAUCACAAAGUCUGGUUCAAAAUUCUAUUGCUUCAUCCGACCCGGGAAAAUUGCCAAAGCAUUUGACGAUUGACACAUUGGAAUAUAAAGGACUAGUAAAUAAAAUCCUAGAUAGGAAGUGGGUAGGUCUCAAAAUAAAUGAGUUGUUAGUUGUAGAAUAUUACUCUCGUCAGACUUGAACUUAACGAAAAAAGGAAAGGUUCAUAGAAUUUUCUUCCCCUUUUCCCGAACUAAAUCGACCUAAGGCCCUAAUUCGUAUUUUCCUACUCAACUAGCAAAAAUGGAUUAACCCGAGGAUCCUUUUUUCUUUUUUGUUCUUUUCUCUAUGUGUAUUUUUACAUACCACAGUAAUUUGCUAUAGAGAAUUUCUAUUAAAUAAGGGUAAGGGUAUUAUUGCUGGAAUAAAUUGUUAUUUGAUUUGAUACACUGUGCUCCUUAACGUUGAUGAAUUAAGAAAAACGGAAAGAGAGGGAUUCGAACCCUCGGUAAACAAAAGUCUACAUAGCAGUUCCAAUGCUACGCCUUGAACCGCUCGGCCAUCUCUCCCACAUAACUCAUUAUGGCAAAUAAACUGAGUAAAUAGCGAGUUUUCCUAUUCCUGCAGUACAAGUACAACCGCUCAGGGGUUCCAUAGUUCUAUUGGAAAAAUUCCUUUUGAUCUAAGUUAAGUGGAAGGAUCCAGGAUUUUUUUACUAGGAAUUGCUUCCCCUAUAAAAGUUUUAGUUUGGAUUUUCCUAAAACCAAAGAAAAAGAGAAUGGAAGAAUUCUUCUUAUUGCAUAAUAAAAUAAAGAAACCUUAGAAUUCUGUUUGCAUAAGGUACGCUACACCAGACUAUCGAAAUCGAAAAUAAGGUAUGAGACAAUUAAUAACUUUGAAAACACGAAAUAGCUGAUGAGCGAAGUUGUUGUUGAGAAAUAGGAAAGUAGAAUCAAACCCAGUCUUAGUCAAAUAUUUAAUAUAUCUUCUUGUCCAAACAGAAAGAAAAGGAAAAAAUUAAAGCUGAGCGGAAAAUCCAUACCUCUCUUAUCGAUUUAGAGCAUAUGGAUCGAUCUAGUUAUAAGAAUCAAAUGUGUUUGUUUUUAUGUUAUUUUGUGAAGGAAUGAAAACAAUUUUAUCAUAGAAUGGGUUGGGAAUUAUGCCUAGAUCCCGUGUAAAUGGAAAUUUCAUUGAUAAGACCUCCUCAAUUGUAGCCAAUAUUUUAUUGCGAAUAAUUCCAACAACCUCAGGGGAAAAAAGGGCAUUUACUUAUUAUAGAGAUGGUGCGAUUUGACUCUUUUUUUUUGUUUUUUUUAGCCCUACCUACACCUCAGUCUUCUGAUAAGGAGAGGGGGUUCGCAUAGAGAGAACAAAAUUAGUAAAGCAAACCCACGCUUUGGGAAGGUGAGGUUAAUUAACAAUUCCUUCUAUCGUGUAUCCUCGAUUGAUGCGGCCUCAGAUGCUUCAAUUGUAGAUUUAAGUAUUGAGCGAAAGGUUACACCUAACAGGAUAGGUUAUGGAUUACAGGCCAAUCCUACUCUAUUAGUACCAAUAGGCAGCACAUAGGGGAGAAAAGCACUACACCUAAAAAUAGGAAUCAACAAGAGAAAAACUUUGUUAUAAAUUAACCCUUUCCUAAUCGAUAUCAGGGCUGGGAAGAAUGGUUGGGAUAAUAAACAACCAUCAGGUUUGUACUUUGGAUACCCCUAUAACCAUCAAAGAUCGUUGAAGUGGCUAAUUCCUCUAAAUAGAAGGCGUUGAGAACAAAGAAAUUCUUGGAGCUAUGAUUUUCCUCUAGCAUUAAUAGAAUUCAUAGAAUUCAUUGGUGUUAGGAAAAACCUCUUGCGGGAAGGUUGGCUAGAGAUUUCUUGGAAAAAUACCAGCCCCUUUCGGUCCAUAAUGAGACGGGACUAAUUUGAUUCUAUAGAUUAUUUCGCUUAGUACUAUGUACAGAAGGGAGGAGCCGUAUGAGAUGAAAACCUCAUGUACGGUUUUGGAACGGAGAUUUUUUGAAUAGAAUGAACGACCGUAACGGAUGUUGGCUCAAUCCGAAGGAAAUUAUGCGGAAGCUUUGCAAAAUUAUUAUGAAGCUACGCGACUAGAAAUCGAUCCCUACGAUCGAAGUUAUAUACUCUAUAACAUAGGCCUUAUACACACAAGCAAUGGAGAGCAUACAAAGGCUUUGGAAUAUUAUUUCCGGGCACUAGAGCGAAACCCCUUCUUACCGCAAGCUUUUAAUAAUAUGGCUGUGAUCUGUCAUUACGUGCGACUAUCUCCACUAUAGAAAGAAAAAAAGAAAGAAUCAAAUUUCUAGUAAAUACUAGACAAAAGGGUCUUUCUACAUAGGGGUCGUAAAAACAACGAUUUUUCCCUAUCAGCUGUAGGAAGGAAAGACACUUCACGAGAAUCAAAAAAGGAAGAAAGUAUGGCCUAUACUACUACUCUAUGGAUAAAGUUCUCAAAUUGAUAGAGAAAGCACCGUAAAGAUCAAUUAGUGAGCGACUUGGUCGAUACAACUAAAAAAAACUGCUUACUUAUCCCAUGAUAUGGGGCAAAGUUUAGGAAUCUGCUUAUGUAAUAGAGCCGAUCCACUAAGGGAUUAAGCAGCGGUGUAGUAUCAGAUCCCAAAGAUAGUAAGUUCUUUUUUCUUUCUUAUCUUAUGGGAAAAAGUCUUUUUCAAGGAUUCUAUAGGGAUUUCAUAUAUGAAACCGGGAUAGUUACUUUUCAGAAAAUUCGAACGAAAGCUCUCGAUCUAUCUAUGCUUCAUUCUUCUGAAGGUGGGAAAAAAGAUCAAACUGAUUAGUUAUAAAAAUUAGGGUUUGAAACUUAGGUAAUUAACUUCUUCUGCUUAACCCAAAAACAAAUUGGAUCGAUUUUUCAAAAAUCGAAUUCAGUUAAGAUAGGGGAAAUUAAGAUAGCAAUUUCUGAGCCGUAUGAGGUAGGAAACUCUCAAGUACGGUUCUAGGGGAAGGAACUGCCUAUUCCGACCGAGGAGAACAGGCCAUUCUACAGGGUGAUUCAGAAAUUGCAGAAGCUUGGUUUGAUCAAGCUGCUGAGUAUUGGAAACAAGCUAUAGCGCUUACUCCGGGAAAUUAUAUUGAAGCACAGAACUGGUUGAAGAUUACGAAGCGCUUUGAAUUUGAAUAAGACCACGUUCCUUUUUCAUAUAAAUUAGGUCGUAAGAUCGAAUCAAGAAUUUCAUUAUAUCCCGUUCGUCUUUCUUCUACCUUCUAUUUUAUAUGAGAUUUUAUAAGGAUAAACCAGAGGGAUAGGAUCUAGAAUAGAAGUAAUAAAGCGAAUAAAAAGAGGGGCAAUCUAAAUACUGCUAAUAUAUCAAGACCAUCUUAUUAAUUCUUAAAUAAUUCUAAUGAGUUAUCUUGGAAUUUAGAAUCAAAUAAAAAAUCCUAUAUUACGCUCAAGGAAAGUAGAUGUAGAUAGGAGCUUAUACUCUCAAAAAAAAAUACACCAGUUUAUUAAAUUUUAAAAAGAUUUUUUUCUUACAUCGGGAAAUAUAUACAUAUAUAUAUAUAUUUUUUUUUCAAGAUAUAUAAUGUCCGUUAGGCACCUAAUCCUUAUGUCAUAAUAGAUCCGAACACUUGCCUAGGAUUGACUUCAAUAUAUAAUUGCUCCAGUGAAUAACUAUAAAAAAAUAGAAGGACGGUAGAUAGUAAAGAAAAGAACUAAUCAUAAUAUCUAUCUUUCAAAAUCUAUCUUUCAAAGAUUCACUAAAAAGACAGUUGGCAGGUCUCUUUAUAUGUCUUGUCCGGAAAGAGGAGGACUUAAUGAUUAUUCGUUCGCCGGAACCAGAAGUAAAAAUUAUUGUGGAUAGGGAUCCUGUAAAAACAUCUUUUGAGGAAUGGGCCAGACCCGGCCAUUUCUCAAAAACACUAGCUAAGGGCCCUGAUACUACCACUUGGAUCUGGAACCUACAUGCUGAUGCUCACGAUUUCGAUAGUCAUACGGGUGAUUUGGAGGAGAUCUCUCGAAAAGUCUUUAGUGCUCAUUUCGGGCAACUCUCCAUUAUCUUUCUUUGGUUGAGUGGCAUGUACUUCCAUGGUGCCCGUUUUUCCAAUUAUGAAGCAUGGCUAAGUGAUCCUACUCACAUUGGACCCAGUGCUCAGGUGACCCUUUCGUUUCCUUCGUCUCUCGAAGGUGCGAUCUGCACUGUUAGUUGGGGAUCGACCUCGUUCAUUGUGAACUGAGUCCUCUCCAUCCGCCCAUCGAUUGGCAAUUUUCAUCAGAUAUCCGAUGAUAGAGGGUCGAACGCGACCCAAUUCUUCUUUGAGCUCGACUCGACGAAGGCCUCGUUUGAAUGCGUCUAUGGCGCUUUCAUCUAAGAUUUCUUCGGAGAAGUGCUUCGAGCUAGUCCAUCGCUGGAUAUAGGAGCGGAUAGACUCUCCUUCAUACUGAACACACGAGCGGAGUUGUUCGAGAGACACUGGUCGUUUAUACGUGGCUUUGAAAUUGCAUGUAAAAGCUUGAACCAGCUCGUCCCACGAAGUGAGCUCACCGCCGCGCAAGCUGUUUAACCAGGUGCGAGCUUGACCCCUGAGCCGGAGUUGAAGAUACUGCAUAGCGGUAGUCCGAGUUCCACCUUGGCAUCGAACCCUGGUGAGGUAGUCCUCUAACCAAGUUCUAGGCUCCUGCGUUCCGUCAUUUGACUAGGUCAGAAGGUGGCUUGAAAUUUCUUGGCAUCCUGGUUCGGCGAAUCCGACGAUUGAAGCAUGGCGCUCCACAUGCUUCGUGGUCUGAAUCAGGAGAGUCCUCCCUGCAGCUGGCUAGGCGGCUAUCGGCUCGACGAGGAGAUUGACUCCUUCUGUGAGGGUUUUGCUUGUGCUCGUUUUGACCAGAGUCGGGCAAUCGGUGAUCAUGCUGAAGCUCGCCAUCCUUAUGAGGCAGGGCGGUCAGGUUUUGGUUGAUACACGAAGCUCCCGAUUUAGCUAAUCCCUUAAGGAUUUGCUCGCGGAUGCGCCAGCACGGGUCAUUGUCGGGCAGUGGGAUUGACUGUAGAUAAGUACUCGCAGCUCGGAGUGCCUCUUCAGUAAUCCCAAGUGUCGCCUCGUUGCGAUCAUCUGCUAACAGGAAGCUUGAGGAGAGAUCGCGAACCGCGUGUGUUCUAUCUUCCUCGGGUAGUUUAUGGAAACGGGACCCACGAUGGGUGUUUUGAAGAAGGGGAGCGCUUCUGCCCAAAGUGUCGGAUGACUCCGGCCGAGCCUUUAUGGACGCUUGAAGUUCCUCCUCUAUCUUCUUAAGUUUGUCAGCUUCGAGCUUUUGUUGCUUAACAAACUCUUCUUUUUCUUUGACCAAGUUGAAGCGGUUCCUGGCCAAGGAGUUCGCAUACAAUUCCAACUUUGCAGGAGUUGGAUCAUCCAUGAGGACUCCUGAGUCAAGGUCUGCUUGAACCCGCGACUUCUCUGCUGCCGGAUGCCCACCUUGCGGAUUUACGAUCACAUCCGCAGUCGAAGGAGUUGAGGUGACAGGGUUUGUCAUGAAGACUUGGGCGAUGGUGCACUUGGGCACAAGAUCGCUGCUGCCAUGGCAGCCUUCUUGUUCCGGGCAGUCGCCAGCGUUGCUUGGGACGGGGCUUUCUGCGCAACAAGGCGAAUUAGCUUCGACCCCGGAGGGAGUCGCGAGGGAGUCUUGCCCUCCGAGUGGUUCUGCCGGAUCCGUCAGCGGGAUCUUACCUGAAGGUGAAGGAAGAAGCGUCUUCUCCCGAGUUGGAGCAGUUAGAUCUGGUAGUCGAAGGAUGCCAGUUCGGUCGGCUCGUAGAUAGAACUCCCUGAACACGAGAUCCACGCCAGUAUCAAGCGCGUUGAAUACCGCACUGCUGGCGGGAGGGUGAGCGGUAAAGUGAAAGGACCCGAAGGUCAUUGACUCCGCCUGAGUCGACAACGGGU
rnacentral:lncRNA from 1 species